rnacentral:rRNA from 1 species
AUGGCAAUAUCAAUUAGCCAUGAGUUAGUCGAUCCUGAAUGGAGGGUUAAUUCCUUAAAAUACUUAGUAAUAAGUAAAUCCAUGAAAGGGAAACAGGUUAAUAUUCCUGUACCGAGUUAAGGAGAUUUAAUGAGGUAACUCAAUUGAUCUCAGAGACGUCAGUAUGAAAGUCAAGAAGAGUUCUCUUCUCUGUUUUACAAGUUAUAAUGUAGUUUUACUAUGUUAUAUAAAAAUCCAUGGAAUUGAAUUAUUCAGAGAUAUGGAUUAAAACUUGGUAGAGUAAAUCAUUUUUUGAUUUAUUUGACUUUUUCAUAUUGAUUCAUAAAAAUCUGAGGGAAAAAAUAUCUUUCUUACUCGUUCGUACUCAUCACCGCAGCAGGUCUCCAAGGUUAGAAGCCUCUAGUUGACAGAAUAACGUUGGUAAGGGAAGUCGGC